rnacentral:tRNA from 1 species
UGCAGUGUAGUUUAAUGAAAAUUCUUAUUUUACACGUAAGGGUUCCCCGGUGUGGGCUUUGCUA